UUCCAAAGUCCAACUUAUAACUUUACACAUUUUUAUUGCUUUGCUGUGGUAGUAUUGAUAUUAAGAAGGUCAUAAAUUUGAUCGUUACACAUGCACAACUGAGAAGAAGUUGCAACAAAUUGAUAUGCACCCAUUCGUGUCCAGUUUUAAAAUCUUAUCUGCUUUACUGCUAAUUUGACCAGGAAUACAAUUGGCUUCUAUCACUCUGUGGGUCACUAGACCAUGGAACAAGAAAAUAACAAAAACGAAGGUUUGGUACGAUCGCAUGCAUCUGAAAAGAGAAGUUCAAAGUUACCUAAGGUCAAAUCUGACACUGCAAAGUCUGGCCAAGAAUUUCUUGAAGACAAGAAAAACCAUUGAUACUUCUGAGGUUCAGAAGAGAAAGCGAAGGAAGAAGAACAAGAGUAUAUCAGAAAGCAGCAAAGUAUCUGGAAAUGAUGCUGAGAAGCAAAAUUCAAGAGAAGACAACCCACGAAAGGAUGCUACCACCAGUAUGGUGCAUUUAGAGAAAAGGCAGCAUAUCCAGAAGAUAGAAGAAAAUGAAGGUUUGGCACAAUCACAUGCAUCUGAAAAGAAAAGCCCAAAGUUAUCAAAGGCCAAAUUUGACAUUGCAAAAUCAGUUGCCAAGAAUUUCUUGAAGAAAAGAAAAGCCAUUGAUACUUCUGAGGUUCAGAAGAGGAAGCUAAGGAAGAAGAACAAGAGUAUAUCAGAGAGAAGCAAAGUAUCUGAAAAUGAUGCUAAGGAGCAAAAUCCAAGAGAAGACAAUCCACAAAAGGAUGCUACUACCAGAAUGUUGCAUGAACAGAAAAGCCAGCAGAUCCAACAGAUAGAAGGAAAUACAUAUCGGUCAGAUGGCAAGGAAAAUAGUAGGUCAAAUGGAAGUACGAAAAUACGAAGAAGGGGAAGGGGGAUUGAGAGUUGAGAGAAAUAGAAAAUGGAAUGAGCAGAUGGAAAAGCACAGGAGUUCAGAGAAGAAUAACAAGAAUAAAGAAAAUAGUGAUGGUAAGGUAAAGAAGCAAGAAAUAAAAUGAAAGAAAAGAUUGAGGGUCUGAUAUUUCUGUGCAAUGCAAAGACCAAGGCCGAUUGUUUCUGGUACCAUGUAAUGGGAGUAUCAAAUGUUAAAAAGAAUCUCGUGUUGGGUAUCAAACGAGGGUUUAAGCUUUUUCUCUAUGAUUAUGAUCUCAAGCUUGGGUUUCUAAGGCAUCCUCCUUUGGAGGCAUGAAACUUGAGCCUGAGGCUUUUGGUGGGGCUUUCCCUGCGCAGGUGCGGUUCUGUGUCCAUGCUAAUUGUUUUCCUCUGGCAGAGAGCCUUUUCAAGAAGACAAUCAAGGGAAAUUAUAACAAAAACAACAGAUUUAAAACCAAACUUACUGCUAGACAAGUUCAGAAACUCACUUAACUGUUCUGACCUGUUGCAGUUCAUUCAACUGCACUGCCUGUCCGUUCUCCUUCAUCAAGGGUAGCGGCUUGAAUCCUUGAACACCCUGAAAAUAGGGAAGCACAUGAUAGACCAAGAGAAUCAAGGUGCGUUUCUGACAGAGAAACAUCUGCUAGAGACCUUAUGCCAAUAUCAGUCCCAGAAGCUAUCCUGUUUUAUCUCAUGAAAGGGAUCGGGAAAUUGCGUAUGGAGAGUUGCCACCUAUACGGAGAGAGGACAUUCAUCGUGAUUUAUACCUUAAUGAGAAUGGUUAUGGAGCUUAUGGUUUUCGGGGAGAGAGAAGAUAACACAAGCUUUCCGCAUCAUAUGUCUCCUAGAUUAGGAACUUUCCGUAGAGAUUACGAAGAGCAGCCUUUACGUCAACCGGACGUGGUAUACAGGGGAUCUGUGCCUAUGCGGAGAGAUAUAAUUCUAUCUGAUCCUCUUUACUCGAACGAGAGAGAGUACUGGAUUUACGAUAUGGGUGCUACACAAGAAAUGCAAUCAACUGUUUUUGCAGGAACU